rnacentral:rRNA from 1 species
GAAAUGGUUUUCUUUCACCCGUCUUGGAACACGGACCAAGGAGUCUAACAUAUAUGCGAGUACAGGGGUGGCAAACCCCCGUGCGCAAUGAAAGUAAAGGGCUGCUUCGGCGGUCUGAGGUGGGAUCUGUCAAAGGUGCACCAUCGACCGACCAUGAUUCUUCGGAUGAAAGGUUUGAGUGUGAGCAUUUAUGUUGGGACCCGAAAGAUGGUGAACUAUGCC